rnacentral:rRNA from 1 species
ACGAACGCUGGCGGCAUGCCUUACCCAUGCAAGUCGAACGAGACCUUCGGGUCUAGUGGCGCACGGGUGCGUUACGCGUGGGAACCUGCCCUUAGGUUCGGAAUAACUCCCCGAAAGGGGUGCUAAUACCGGAUAAUGUCUUCGGACCAAAGAUUUAUCGCCUUUGGAUGGGCCCGCGUUGGAUUAGCUAGUUGGUAGGGUAAAAGCCUACCAAGGCGACGAUCCAUAGCUGGUCUGAGAGGAUGAUCAGCCACACUGGGACUGAGACACGGCCCAGACUCCUACGGGAGGCAGCAGUGGGGAAUAUUGGACAAUGGGCGAAAGCCUGAUCCAGCAAUGCCGCGUGAGUGAUGAAGGCCUUAGGGUUGUAAAGCUCUUUUACCCGGGAUGAUAAUGACAGUACCGGGAGAAUAAGCUCCGGCUAACUCCGUG